AAUUUUGGACAAUGAGGGAAACCCUGAUCCAUCCAUCCCGCGUGUAUGAUGAAGGACUUCGGGUUGUAAAGUACUUUUGGCAGAGAAGAAAAGGUAUCUCUGAAUACGAGAUACUGCUGACGGUAUCUGCAGAAUAAGCACCGGCUAACUACGUGCCAGCAGCCGCGGUAAUACGUAGGGUGCAAGCGUUAAUAGGAAUUACUGGGCGUAAAGCGUGUGUAGGCGGGUCGUAAAGAAAGAUGUGAAAUCCCAGGGCUCUACCUUGGAACUUCAUUUUUAACUGCCGCGCUAGAGUAUGUCAGAGGGGAGUAGAAUUCCACGUGUAGCAGUGAAAUGCGCAGAUAUAUGGAGGAAAACCGAUGGCGAAGGCAGCCCCCUGGGAUAAUACUGACGCUCAGACACGAAAGCGUGGGGAGCAAACAGG
rnacentral:rRNA from 1 species